rnacentral:rRNA from 1 species
CCCUAUGGCCAUACCACCCUGAAUGCGCCAGUCUUGUCUGAUCUUGGAGGCGAAGCAGGCUCCAUUGACCCCAGUGAGUACUUGGAUGGGAGACCACUUGGGAUUACCAGGUGCUGUAGGCU